rnacentral:sRNA from 1 species
CGGCGGGCAGAAGUCGACGCGGUAGUUGGUGCCGGCGGGGCAGGUGAAGGUGCUGGUCUGGUCGUCCUUGGCGUAGCUGUAGGCGUCGAGGCGCAUAGCCCCUUGAAGAACAUGGAGUAGCUUGUCGGCGGGCAUGUAGCAAGUCCUGCAUGAGCAAGUACUUGCAUGUCCUGCAUGCUACAGUAGGUGUCGCCGCCGAACUUGUCGCACGCACUGGCGCAGCCGCCUGGGACACAGAGCUCGGGUGGGCACGUACCUCGCCGUGAUGUCCACGGCGCAGCUCGGCCCGCGCCCUUUGCUGCACCCGGCGCCGCCGCCGUUGGUCGUCUCGAAGCUCACCGGCACGUUGAACCCGUCGAUGAGCGACAGGUCGAGGAAGUCGUCGCCGGUGCCGGGUCGGGAGCCGAGCGUGUAGCCGUGUACUCGGGCAGCGUGGUGGGCAGCUCGCCGGAGGCGGAGCAGGACAGCGCGCUGGCGCAGUCGCCCGUGACACAGCG